rnacentral:tRNA from 1 species
GCCUUCGUGGUGUAGUGGUCAGCACACUGAGCCAGUAUUUCAGAGGUCCGUGGUUCGAUUCCAAGCGAAGGCA